rnacentral:rRNA from 1 species
UAACACGUGGGCAAUCUGCCCUAAAGACUGGGAUACCACUUGGAAACAGGUGCUAAUACCGGAUAACAACAUGAAUCGCAUUAUUCAAGUUUGAAAGGCGGCGUAAGCUGUCACUUUAGGAUGAGCCCGCGGCGCAUUAGCUAGUUGGUGGGGUAAAGGCCUACCAAGGCAAUGAUGCGUAGCCGAGUUGAGAGACUGAUCGGCCACAUUGGGACUGAGACACGGCCCAAACUCCUACGGGAGGCAGCAGUG